rnacentral:misc_RNA from 1 species
GGAGCUAGGCGGUUGAAUUGACAACGGAGACAGACUCUAGGAGAUAUUGAGUGGAAGCAGCACUGGCGGUGGUCGUCGUAGUCAGAGGUGCAGAGUGUGGUGUUUCUCGAAGGAGUGGACAGCAGACUAGCAGAACGGGAUUUUCCGUCCUCGUUUCUCCGACCAGCGAAGUAGGAGACGGUGAGUUGAGGUACGGCGGAGGGUCGUGAGGUACAGAG